UACGUAGGGGGCUAGCGUUGUCCGGAAUCAUUGGGCGUAAAGAGCGUGUAGGCGGCCAGGUAGGUCCGUUGUGAAAACUCGAGGCUCAACCUCGAGACGUCGGCGGAAACCCUCUGGCUAGAGUCCGGAAGAGGAGAGUGGAAUUCCUGGUGUAGCGGUGAAAUGCGUAGAGAUGUGGCGGAACACCGAUGGCGAAGGCAGCCCCCUGGGCUGAGAUUGACGCUCAGGCACGAAAGCGUGGGGAGCAAACAGG
rnacentral:rRNA from 1 species